UAGCGGUCUUUGAGUACGCGGCCUUUGUGGACCGUUAAGGCUGCAUACUUUGAGACUGCAGA
ensembl:miRNA